rnacentral:tRNA from 1 species
AGUUAAUGAACUUGAAUAAGUAUAUGUUUUGAAAACAUAAAAUAGAAACUUUAAUUUUCUAUUAACUU